UACGUAGGGUGCAAGCGUUAAUCGGAAUUACUGGGCGUAAAGCGUGCGUAGACGGUUAUUUAAGUCGGGUGUGAAAGCCCCGGGCUCAACCUGGGAAUGGCGAUGAAGACUGCAAGGCUAGAAUCUGGCAGAGGGGGGUAGAAUUCCACGUGUAGCAGUGAAAUGCGUAGAGAUGUGGAGGAACACCGAUGGCGAAGGCAGCCCCCUGGGUCAAGAUUGACGCUCAUGCACGAAAGCGUGGGGAGCAAACAGG
rnacentral:rRNA from 1 species